GAGUGCUGGGAUUAAAGACGUGCACCACCACUGUUCCCCCAUUAAUUUUGUAAGUAAUGAGUUUCACUGCAGUAUUUUCAAGCGUAUGUGUUUGUGUGUGGAGUCUGUGUAUGAGAGGGUAGCUUAGAGCUCGUAGAGGUCAGAGGACAACGUUCAGGAGUCCUUUCUUUCCAUCGCUCAGCAAGCAUUUUUACCACAGAGCCUCCUCUCCGGCCUAAUUAAUCUGUUGUUUUCUUGAGGUGGGGUCUUACUGUGUAGUGCUGGCUGGUCUGGAAUGGGUAGUGCAGAUCAGAGGCUCCAGCUUGAGGGCUGGGGCUGUAGAGUUGAGCCACUCUGCCUGCUCUCUCUGACAUUAGGACAGGGUUUCCUAACAAUUCCUGACAAUCUAGGCUGGCCUCCAACUCACUAUGUACCCCAGGAUGACUUUGGACUCCUCAUCUUCCUGCCUCUGACUUUCAAGUCCUGAGAAUUAUAAAACAUGAGCCACAACACCUGGCUGUUUUUUCCCUGCCCCACAGGGGCUUGAGCCUAGAAACUUGGACAGGCUGGGCAAGCACUGUAGCGCUGACUGGCACCCUUGGCUCUGUGAUUUCUAGCUUUAAUAAGCCCUCAAGGGGUUUGCCUUCUACCCUGUCUGCUCUGGUGCCACUUCAAGGAGAGAGCGCCCAUUCCAGGAGCUUGGACUUUGUUUGCGGUGGUGUCACUGGCUGGCUCUGUAGACAAGGCUAGCCCCCCAGUAUGGUUGAAGUUCUCAUGGCAGUAACUCAAUCGUCUGGAACAGUCCUGGCCUGCAGGUCACCAAGGUGCAGGAAUGUGGCCCUUCAGAAACAUUUCUGAUGGCUCCAGUCACUCCCUACAGCAGGGCAAGGCUCGCGGAAGGCAUGCCGACAAUGAGCCCCCGAGAGGCUCAGUCUGCAUUUCUGUGCUGUGUCAUCUGUGAGGAGAGACGCUGGCACUGGACCCAGUACAACCACCAAUGCCUAUCAGCACAGCCUUCUUCUCCGUCCGGAUUCCCAAGAUGCUUAAGGACGUGAGAGCAAAUAGCACUCAUUCCUUCAUUUCUAAUACCUGAGCAGACUGCUCUCAGCGCGAGCACACAGCCUCCACCGAGUUCUUCUAGAACAUACCUUUAGUUCCCAGGCUACCUGACCAGGAGGGCCGGAGAUCCUAAUCAGACUAUUUCCAGUGACUUGUCUCAGGUGUGUGCCCUCACCGACUGUCCAAAUGUGUGCUUAGUGACUCAGAAACUCAAUCAUUAACUUAGCAGAGAGCUGGAGAGCAUGGGUGAGGAGGGCUGGAGGGCAAGUCAGAGUGCCUGCCUUCCAAGCAUGCCAGGACAGUGCCGAACACGGGCAACAGUGCCAUCCACAUGGCUUCCCAGGGAGAUGGGAGCGAUCUUUGACUCGGUUGGAAUCAGAAAGCGGCUACAACUCCGUGACCCACACAGGGUACCACUUCUUUGGCGGGAGCUGGCGUGCAAGGAACCGGGCUGUUGAAAAUGCACGCAGAUACCCGGGUGUGCUCCGAGCGUCCCAGCUUUGCGGGUUGCAGCCGUUGCAGUGCUCACUUGCUGUCACUGGGCGGCGCUGUGUGCUCGGCCGGCGCUGGGUCCUGCGCUCGCACCUGCUCCGCCUCCGCCAGGCGGACCUCGGGACCUUAGCGGGCCAGAACAGGACAUCCUCCAGAUGUGGCACUCGGACGACCAGCUGAGCCGGUGGGACACACGAGUUCGCGUUCUCUCUGAUCCCAGAGCCCGGACAGAGGGUUGGGGACAGGAAGUCACUUUUCCAGACUGUGGCUGCUUGAAGCUACCCAGAGAUGCGUCUGACACUCCUCUCCCCCCUACUCCAGCCCCGUUGCAGAGACCAAGAGACCCUCCCAGGUCCAUCACCACACCACUCGGAUCGUCUCCACCCAGGGACCCCAGCAACCCCAGGUUUCCAGUGCAGCAGACUGAGAAUGUCCAGAGUUACCACCUGGUGUCACACAGGACCCUGAAGGCAGGACCUGGUUCAGCUGCAGGGUCUUAGCCCCCUCAGCUCUCCCCCAGGCUGAGCCAGAUGCCAGGAACGGUGUGUAGGCCACGUGGGUUCCAGGAAGCCUGGAGGCCCUGGGCAGCUAUGGUUGCUAUGAAGAAAAAUAUGCAUCCUGGUCACAGGUUCUAUUUUAAACACAUAAAAACAAAGUAGAUCUCAGCCUGGUGGUGGUGACACACGCCUUUAUUCUCAGCACUCGGAAAACAGAAGCAGGAGGAUAUCUGUGAGUUCGAGGCCAGCCUGGCCAGCUAGUUCCAGGACAGGCACCAAAGCUACAGAGAAACCCUGUCUUGAAAAAAACCAAAAAAAGGAGAUCUCAAACUGGACUCCAGCUGUGGUGGGUGGUCUAUUGCGGUGUAUGAAUGAAGUCACCUACCCAAAUUCUACACCCACUCUCUUUUAAGACUCCCACAGUGGGACCGAGUGUUUGAAAUAAAGAGUGGAGCUGUUGAUAUGAAGCAGUUGAUAGAGAGCUUGGAGGAGUUUGAUGUAUAACAAACCCCUGUCUCAGAAACCUCAGGGCUGGGGGCUGGAGAGAUGGCUCAGCGGUUAAGAGCAUUGCCUGCU